rnacentral:piRNA from 1 species
UCCCAAGUGCUGGGAUUAAAGCCAAACUCUAU